ACAUGGUCUACCUGGCCGCUACCGUGUUUUGUGUUUCUGGUCUUGCUCUGGAGUCCUGACUCCUGACUCAACUGGUCCUGGCUUGUUAUCUUGGGUUGUGAUUGCUUGUUGGUUCUGAUCACUAGCUUCUUCUCAUGGUUCCUGAUUUCUAGAUCCUGACUCACCUCUGACAGAUGCCUAUGGUUCAGCCUGACACCUUGAGUCUUUGGCCCCUCUUACAUCACUUCAGAAUGGCUCUGCUGAAGUUAACGUUCUCUUCCACCAGUCACUGUGAUCAUAUCAUCCCUUUCCUGGGUAUUUGUGUGUGACAUGGAUGGCAUACAAAUCACGCAGCGUAGUGCAAGAGCUGAGAACUCAUGGGUGUCAUCUGCAAAAAGCACUCCAUGAUCCGUUAGGUACAUUUUUGGAGCUUCAGUGAUCACGUAGCUGCUGGGCCUGAAAUCUGUGCUGUAUUGGGGUGGUGGUGGAUGCUAUUCACACGUGAGAGAGAAGAGGCUCCCAUUUUGCUACACCUGCGAAGCUCAUCCGACCCCUUUUGUCUUCCAAAGUAAGUCAGCACCCCUCACCCAAGCAGUGGUCACAAAACGAUUGCAGUCCUUAGAGGGCUCUUGAUUUCUCCCACCCCAGUCACAUAUUUCCUUAUCUUUUAAUUCUGCUUUCUUGGAUUUAGGGACAAAAGAGCACUAGCUAGAUCAGCUUGGAAUGCUGUAUUAGUUUUCUCUUUCUUAUUGAUUUGGGAAGGUUAAUCAUCAUUGCAUAGUUCACAAUUUCCCUGUAUGGGGAAGUGCAUACAGACAUGAUCCCAAAAGGUGAUGUGUGUUUUCAAGGCGGGGAGAAGAAACCACAGAAAAGAAAUGUUCAUGUAUCGAGGCUAAAUCCUGUUGUUAGGGCAACAGCAUGACAGUAGCCAAGACUGUUGCUGCUUAUGACACAGGUCUGUCAGGUGGAGUUGUGGGUGGUUUUUUGUUUUUUGUUUGCCUUUGUGUUGUCAAAAUGACUCCCUGCAGCCAUUGCAUACGUUAUGAGUGCAUAAUUUCUGUAGCCUACUUCUUUUAAAUAUUCAUGAUUGCUUUUUAAAUGCAUUAUUAUCCAAGCCACUGUAAAUAACAUUUUAAUUUUCGUUUAUAAGAAGUAGGCCUUUGGAUUAUUAUUAUUUUUGGAAUAAUAACCACUCCUAGUGCUGUACUGGUGCAGUUCAGGCAGCAGCACCUGUCUGUCGCCCUAUGCAACACAAGGACGAUGGUCUGGUUGUGGGGCUGUUUUCCCUGCUGUUGUCAAAAAGCAUCUUGUUCUGCUAUUUGCAUCAGAGUCUUGGGGCCCAUAUGAAUGUUCACAGUGCCCACCAACCACACUUUAAGAACCACAGUCUUAAACUAAUGAGAACCAAAGGAAACCCAUUUAAAAUAAACAAAUUCAUUGUUAAACUUUAUUUCAUUACUCUUCAUUAUGAAUUCUUUUAUUCGUUCAUAAAGUAUUCAGACAGAACCUCAUUCUGUAAGAUCAUAUUUUUGCAUUGCCAAGAGACUGUCCUAUAUUUUGUUUUCUUAAUAUGUACUUAACAGCUUUGUGAACUGCAAAUGUCAUGGGCUUUUGCGGGUUCCUGGUCCACCCAGGCCCUGCUGCUGCACAACCUCUGCUUGUUUUUGUGCAGGAGACUCAAGAGAUUGAAUAGGAAAAACCAUACCCUCAGCAUUUGAUUGACUGCAGAAAAACGAUAGCUUAUCUGUGGUUGAGAUACUUGUUUGUAGGGAGAAAGAGUGCUACUUAGUAUGCAAUUGUGACUCACAUAUUUGCAAACGUUGAUUCAAUUGUUUGUUGACUUAUAGAUGGGUCCUUCCCCUAUUAUAAAUUGUUUAGGCACUGGAAAGGGGUGCACUUCUCAUUUGCAGUUAAGGGUGUUGAAUUUGGAGCUCAACCCUCCCCCCCCCCCUUUGGCCCAGUAUACCUGAAGGAGCGUCUCCACCCCCUUCGUUCUGCCCAGACACUGAGAUCCAGUGCUGAAGGCAUUCUGGUAGUUCCCUCACUGUGAGAAGCCAAGUUACAGGGAACCAGGCAGAAGUCUUCUCGGUAGUGGCGCCGCCCUGUGGAAGGCUCUCCCAUCAGAUGUCAAGGAAAUAAACAACUAUCUGACUUUUAGAAGACAUCUGAAGGCAGCCCAGUUUAGGGAAAUUUUUAAGCACUGAUGUUUUAGUGUAUGUUUAAUCUCUGUUGGAAGCUGCCCAGAGUGGCUGGGGAAACACAGCCAGAUGGGCGGGGUACAAAUAAUAAAUUAUUAUUAUUAUUACUAUUAUUGUUGUUAUUGUUACCACUACUACUACUACUACUACUACAGUAUUUCCCCACUUUUCUUUUUGACCUCUUUGAGAAUUUGCUUUUAUUUCUUCAACCACGGUUUCCUGUACUGUUAACAAACUUCCUUUCACUCUGCAGCAAUCUGUAAAUAUCAGCCAAGCAAGGAUAACUUUUCUUGCGCCUGACAAAGUGCUCUCUUAAGUCCACAAAAGCUUAUGCCACAAUAAAUCAGUUUGUUUUUAAGUUGUCACAAGAUUACUUGUCAUUGCUGCAACGGACCAAUAGGGCUUUCCUCUUAUAAUGCAUCAUUGUAGAGAAACACAAGGACUUUGAGGAUAGGAAAAACAACAACCAAGGACUUUGCAUGAGGCUCCAAAUCAAAGCAUUUUCAAUUCAGAGAUUGAUUACUGUAUUUUUCGCUGUAUAGGACGCACCAGAGAAUAUGAUGCACCUAGUUUUGGGGGGAGGAAAACAAGGGGAAAAAAAUUGAAUCCCAGAAGCCAGAACAUCAAGAUCUGGCUUCUGGGAUACUGUGUGGCUGUUCUGGCUUCGGUGAUAACAGCACCAAGCCUCUUCAGGGCAGCGGGAUGAAGGCCCCCCCUGCCCGGAAGAGGCUAAGGCAGAAGCCAGGACAGGCGCCUCGCUGAAGGGGUGCUGCGCAGUUCUCCCUCUUUGCGCAGCGCCACUCCUUCGCAGCGUAGGUGCUGCGCAGAGAGGGAGAACUGUGCAGUGCCCCUUCAAGCGAAGCUGGAGAAGGAACAGAAGGAGACCCUUCUGUUCCUCCUCCGGCUUCCAGGCCAGGCGCCUCGCUUAAGCUUUCCGCUGCUCCCCAGGUCCCCCCCCUAGCCCCAGGGACCACACAUUUGCUCCAUAAGACGCACAGACAUUUCCCCUUAGAUUUUAAGAGGGGAAAAGUGCGUCCUAUGGAGCGAAAAAUACAGUAGUUUCAGGAUGCAACCUGCUAAUCAGAGCUGAUAGGAAGUUCACACUGGAAAAUUUAACUGUGUUCAAGAUACAAAAUUUGCAUUUGACUCAGUGAGUUGAAUCCAGAAAUACAUGAGUAGAACUCUGUUCAUGCAGGGUGUCCUACCUCCCAUUACUUCAGCCCCCUGCAUCCCACAUCGUGAGCGAAUUCUGAAGUUUAAGAUACUCCCAGGAAUGGCAGAUGCUGGGAUAGGAGGGGCAUGGAAAUCAUGAGAAAUCAGUUGGGCCACCUUGUGCAAGCAGAAUUGCCUUUCUGCACAAGACACCUCUGGACCCAAGACAAUCAACUCAAAUUUUCAGACUUUAUAUUGCUGUGCUUUGAACAUUCAACACUUCCACAUUUUAAAUGUUAUCACCAGAGUCUGACAUGCCUAAAUAAACUUAAUAUUAUUUUUUUCUUUUAAAAAAAUCAUAGUAUCCAAAUAUAAAUAAUUGGUGGAUUUCAAAUUUUGAAAUUGAUUUUUAACAUUCAGGUAGAAAUCAACAUUAAUAAAUAAAGUUCUGCAAAUUAUCUACAAGCAACUUCAAAUGUUACAUGGAAACCCCAAAACACGCAAGUGCCUGUUCUGAUUCUUCCACAUAACUCAUGAAGGAAUUAAGUGGUUUCUUUUGUACUAUGAAGCUCAAAUAAGAACCUUGGAGGAUCAGACACUACUGCCUUAGUUGAUUUAGGGCUGCAGAUGGACUGCAGUUUUUUAAGCCAGCUAGUAAAAAUAUUUGGACCAAAUGCUUCCAACCAGGAUGUCAGGUGAUUGGGUGGAGCAAAUCACUUAAUCCCAGAUCCUGCUGUUGCUUCCAGGAUGAGUAACUGCUCACCUUAGAAAGCUGUCUGUUCUCAGGGCAUGCCAGACUUCCCUUGCUGCCUUGCAUAGCCUGUGAUCUGAAGCCUUCUGAGUAGCCUUGCUCAUGUCAGUAUCUGGCAUUCACUCCUUCUCCACAUGCAGCUGCUGGGUGACCUUGGGCUAGUCACACUUCUCUGAAGUCUCUCAGCCCCACUCACCUCACAGAGUGUUUGUUGUGGGGGAGGAAGGGAAAGGAGAUUGUGAGCCGCUUUGAGACUCCUUAGGGUAGUGAUAAAGCGGGAUAUCAAAUCCAAACUCUUCUUCUUCGUCUUCUUCGUCUUCUUUGUCUUUUUUUAAAUAAUAUUUAUUGAGGAUUUUAAGAUUACAAAGAAACAAAGAAAAAAGUAGACAAAAAGAGAAAUUAAACAAUACAAGUC
rnacentral:lncRNA from 1 species